UCUUCGUGUGAUCGACCGUUGCGAUUUUCGAACGACUACCGAACACUUUAAAUUCCAGUUUUUUUUUCAGAAUUUAAGCUGUCAUUUAAAGGCAAAGGGAACAUUUGAAAUUCAAAACAAAUUUUCAACUCAUGAUUCUAAAUUUGAAAUGAAUAUUUUAAAUAAUCGGCUAUAUGGAAACAAUCGCAGCCUUCAUUCUAUAUAAGCUAUCCCGUUCGCGCUCGCAACUAAUUGAAUAUGACUAUCCUGGUCUAAUGCGACAUGCGACAAACAGUGACAUCUACGUGUCGUCAACCAAUGACAAAAGCGGAGCUUCCAUUGGCCGAAAUACCUACUCAACAAAUAAUCCUGAAAAACAUAAAAACUUGCUACCCCAAAUCACUUUCGAACCAACGAUUUAAUGUAAGCUAUUCUUUAUAAAUUAAUCUAAAAUAA